rnacentral:rRNA from 1 species
AUUGAACGCUGGCGGCAUGCCUUACACAUGCAAGUCGAACGGCAGCGGGGACUUCGGUCCGCCGGCGAGUGGCGAACGGGUGAGUAAUGUAUCGGAACGUACCUUUCAGUGGGGGAUAACGUAGCGAAAGUUACGCUAAUACCGCAUAUUCUCUGAGGAGGAAAGCAGGGGACCUUCGGGCCUUGUGCUGAUGGAGCGGCCGAUAUCAGAUUAGCUAGUUGGUGAGGUAAAGGCUCACCAAGGCGACGAUCUGUAGCGGGUCUGGGAGGAUGAUCGGCCACACUGGGACUGAGACACGGCCCAGACUCCUACGGGAGGCAGCAGUGGGGAAUUUUGGACAAUGGGCGCAAGCCUGAUCCAGCCAGGCCGCGUGAGUGAAGAAGGCCUUCGGGUUGUAAAGCUCUUUCGGACGGGAAGAAAUUGGUGGGGCUAAUAUCCCCAUCGGAUGACGGUACCGUAAUAAGAAGCACCGGCUAACUACGUGCCAGCAGCCGCGGUAAUAC